GUAAAAACAAAAUCUACUGCUGACAUCAGAUGGGACUCCACGGUCAAGAUAUGAGAUGGAAUGAGACUAGUGUAGACAGCCAGACAGCCUCCAAUCCAGUGAAGCUCUCAAGGGCCAGACAUGGUGACCAUGUCGAGCAAUAGCUUUCGGCACCUAACUCUCACGACCAGACGCCCAUUGCUCUACAAUUUCCGAAGACUCCAGUCCGAAACCUGUCUGGCAUCCUUUCCUACCCAAGAAUCACAGCAAAAUCAACCCACCAGUGCCGACACCGAAAAAAUCAAAGCCCACGGUGACACUAGGAAGUCAGCUCCGUACUUCCCUAAGAGAGGUCAAACCGUAGAGUUGGUUUGCGACUCAUUGGCAUUUAAGGGAAAAGGCGUGUGCAAGAUCGCAGACUCUGGGUUUGUCGUCAUGUGUGACCGUGCACUCCCUGGCGAGCGAUUCAUUGGGCGUGUGACUCGCAUCAAGAAGGGCAGCUAUGCUGAGGCAACUAAAGUUAAGACAGUCUCUCCACAUUGGGACGUUGUUGAUGCCCCUUGUGAAUAUGCUUCAUAUUGUGGAGGUUGUAAAACACAGAAUCUAUCCUAUGAGGCUCAGCUUAGAGCAAAGGAGCAACAGGUCCAUGAACUCUUGGUACAUGUUGGAAAGUUCUCUGUUAAUAGCCCAGAAUACGCUACCAUUAUGAAGGCCAUUGUUCCCUGUGCUAUUCAAUUUCAUUAUAGAAAUAAGAUGGAGUUCUCUUUUGGUUCAAAAAAAUGGUUAACAAGAGAUUCUUUGCAAGAGAAACAAGAUGGAAAUUCAAAUUUUGCUCUGGGGUUGCAUUCUCCUGGCUAUUUUGAUAAGGUUCUCAAUGUUGAUAAGUGCUUGUUACAAAGUGAUCCUGCCAACAAGGUUCUUGCAGCUGUUCAAGAUUGUUGGAGAGAUCCACGGUUAGGUCUUACUCCAUAUGAUGUCCAUUCGCAUGGUGGAUUUAUGAAGCAUCUAAUGCUAAGAACUGGAAGUUAUGUGAAGACUGGGUCACCCCAACUUAUGGUUAAUUUUGUGACCUCAUCUUACAAGCCAGAGCUGCUGAAGCCUCUAGUUGAUAAAAUUUCUGUUAUUCCUGAAGUGGUGAGCAUAUUAAAUAAUGUUAAUACUUCUGUUGGCAAUACAUCCAUUGGGGAGGAAGAGUACACAUUGUAUGGGAAAACCUCCAUUACAGAGACCUUAAGAGGACUUAUAUUUGAAAUUUCAGCAAACUCUUUCUUCCAGACAAAUACUUCUCAGGCAGAGGUGUUGUAUAAACUUGUUGAAGACUGCGCUUGUCUCAGAGGAGAUGGCUCAGAAAUUGUUCUUGACCUAUUUUGUGGGACUGGUACCAUCGGCCUGACCCUUGCGAGAAGGGUUAACCAUGUAUAUGGAUAUGAAGUAGUUGCUCAAGCCAUCUCAGAUGCUCGUCAAAAUGCAAAGCGGAAUGGAAUCAACAAUGCUACAUUUGUAGAAGGCGACCUUAACAAGAUUGAUGCAAAUUUUGGCGACAAUUUCCCCAAGCCUGAUGUUGUUAUUUCAGGUGGUAAAAUUUGUUGCAUUUUUGGACUGCUUAAGCUUGGUAAAUAAGGUUCCUUCUCUGGUCCAAUUUGUGUCCUCCUGUCCAUGUGUCUGUGUGUAAGUGGGAGGCAGUGGGGGUGUUUGUUCAAGUAGAAUUGAUUUAUGCAUUCUUCACUUGACAUGAAAGUGGGUUGCAGCAAGAUUCUACAAGUUUUGCUUUUAGGGAAUAUUCAACUGAAAUUAAUUACUUCAUCAGAAUAUUUUUGACUUCACCUUGUCUACUGUGCCAAAAUUUUGUAGAUCCCAACCGUCCUGGCAUGCACAUGAAAUUGAUUAAAUUUCUGCUAAAGCUUAAGGCGCAACGCAUUGUAUAUGUAUCGUGCAAUCCUGCAACAUGUGCACGUGACCUAGCUUACCUUUGUCACGGUGUGGUUGAGCAAAAUAUCAAGGGAUGUUACAAACUCAUAAGUGUACAGCCAGUGGAUAUGUUUCCUCACACUCCUCAUAUUGAAUGUGUGUGCCUAUUAGAGCUCCGUUGACCAUUCCUUGUACUCUCAUGCCUAGGGUCUCAUAUAUCUGCACGCACUGCGGCCAAGGCUGUAAUUCUGAUCAGAUCUUCAACUUCCCUUGAUGAUUUUGAUAGAGGUGCUGGUGUUCCUUAAUAUAUUUAAAGAGAGAGAAGUUUUGAACUCUCGUGAAG